rnacentral:lncRNA from 1 species
UAAACAAAUGAACCUCUCACUAUUAGCUUCACAAGUACGGCCACGUUCCUUCUUCAGCCAGGCAGGUGAAACACUCCAUGAACCCAGAUCUGAAACAGGGCAGUCCACAGGAGGUGAACAGCUGCAGACCAUGUCAUCCGCCUUCCUGACAGGUUUGGGGACAGCCCCAUAAUCACAAAAAGGUGGUGUUCUCUGGUCUUUACCAAGGAGGCUCAA